rnacentral:rRNA from 1 species
AACGAACGCUGGCGGCAUGCCUAACACAUGCAAGUCGAACGAACCCUUCGGGGUUAGUGGCGCACGGGUGCGUAACGCGUGGGAAUCUGCCCAAAGGUUCGGAAUAACACAGAGAAAUUUGUGCUAAUACCGGAUAAUGUCUUCGGACCAAAGAUUUAUUGCCUUUGGAUGAGCCCGCGUUGGAUUAGCUUGUUGGUGAGGUAACGGCUCACCAAGGCGACGAUCUAUAGCUGGUCUGAGAGGAUGAUCAGCCACACUGGGACUGAGACACGGCCCAGACUCCUACGGGAGGCAGCAGUGGGGAAUAUUGGACAAUGGGCGAAAGCCUGAUCCAGCAAUGCCGCGUGAGUGAUGAAGGCCAUAGGGUUGUAAAGCGCUUUCACCUGUGAUGAUGAUGACAGUAGCAGGAGAAGAAGCCCCGGCUAACUCCGUG